UACCCGCUGAACUUAAGCAUAUCAAUAAGCGGAGGAAAAGAAACUAACAAGGAUUCCCCUAGUAACUGCGAGUGAAGCGGGAAGAGCUCAAAUUUAAAAUCUGGCGUGCCUCCGGUCGUCCGAGUUGUAGUCUGGAGAAGCGUUUUCCGUGUUGGACCGUGUAUAAGUCUCUUGGAACAGGGCGUCAUAGAGGGUGAGAAUCCCGUCUUUGACACGGACUACCAAUGCUUUGUGAUGCGCUCUCAAAGAGUCGAGUUGUUUGGGAAUGCAGCUCAAAAUGGGUGGUAAAUUCCAUCUAAAGCUAAAUAUAGGCAAAAGACCGAUAGCGAACAAGUACCGUGAGGGAAAGAUGAAAAGCACUUUGGAAAGAGAGUUAAACAGUACGUGAAAUUGCUGAAAGGGAAACGCUUGAAGUCAGUCAUGUCUGCCAGGACUCAUCCUUGCUUCUGCUUGGUGCACUUUCUGGUUUGAUGGGCCAACAUCAAUUUUGACCGUUGGAGAAAGGCUUUGGGAAUGUGGCACCUUCGGGUGUGUUAUAGCCCUUUGUCGUAUACAACGGUUGGGAUCGAGGACCGCAGCACGCCUUUAUGGCCGGGGUUCGCCCACGCACGUGCUUAUGAUGUUGGCAUAAUGGCUUUAAACGACCCGUCUUG
rnacentral:rRNA from 1 species